AGGAAUGCAGGCUGACUCUAGGAGCUCAGAACGACCCCUGCCUGACAGCCAGCAGAGAAACCAGCCUUCAAUCCUACCACUGCAAGAGCACUGAACUCUGCCAAUAAGCAGGGAGUUUGGAAGGGAUCCCCAAGCUGUAUGAGACUUAGUCCCAGCUGACACCUUGAUUUUAUCUCUGUAGGACCCUGAAGAGAGGACCCAGUCAUGCUGCAUUCAGGCUUCUGACCUCCAGAACUAUGAACUAAUAAAUGGGUGUUUUAAGCUGUUAUGUUUGCAAUGUGUUAUGAAGUCAUAGGAAACUGAUACAGAUGGUCAUUUCAAAGAGGGGAACCACAUGACAAAUGCUCAGAGCCAUAAAGAAGCAGAGAACUAAAGUCAUUCAGAGAACUAAAGACAUUCGGCAUAGCUGGACCAUGGGGAGCAAAGGAGACGGUGGAUCAGAGCACAGCAAAGGACAGAGAGUAUGAAAGCUAAUCUUUGAAGACACACUUAAUCAGCGAAAUGGUGAU
rnacentral:lncRNA from 1 species